UACAGAGGUCUCAAGCGUUGUUCGGAUUCAUUGGGCGUAAAGCGCACGUAGGCGGCUUUGCAAGUCCCAUGUGAAAUCCCACGGCUCAACCGUGGAAGUGCAUGGGAAACUGCAGAGCUUGAGUACUUAAGAGGAUCGCGGAAUUCCCGGUGUAGAGGUGAAAUUCGUAGAUAUCGGGAGGAACACCAGUGGCGAAGGCGGCGAUCUGGGAAGAUACUGACGCUGAGGUGCGAAAGCGUGGGGAGCAAACAGG
rnacentral:rRNA from 1 species